rnacentral:lncRNA from 1 species
GGAGGAUGUAUGGGAGGCUCUUUAUGACCAGUGGAGCAGUGAGGACUACUCUGAUAGAUAAUAGAGAGCCUAAUAAAAUCAGACUGUCCAGUAGGAUCCAAUCAAGCACACCAACAGCUCCGUUGGCACACAUAUUAUAGCAGAUAGAUUAGUAAAAAUUCUAAACUUAUAUUAAUCUCAUAUUUAGUUGAUCAUAUAUAAUUUUUGUUAACUUAAUUUUAUUAUUUACUUAUUAUAGGUACGGCAGAUAGGUCAUGUACC